rnacentral:rRNA from 1 species
UAGAGUUUGAUCCUGGCUCAGAUUGAACGCUGGCGGCAGGCCUAACACAUGCAAGUCGAGCGGAUGAAGAGAGCUUGCUCUCUGAUUCAGCGGCGGACGGGUGAGUAAUGCCUAGGAAUCUGCCUGGUAGUGGGGGACAACGUCUCGAAAGGGACGCUAAUACCGCAUACGUCCUACGGGAGAAAGCAGGGGACCUUCGGGCCUUGCGCUAUCAGAUGAGCCUAGGUCGGAUUAGCUAGUUGGUGAGGUAAUGGCUCACCAAGGCGACGAUCCGUAACUGGUCUGAGAGGAUGAUCAGUCACACUGGAACUGAGACACGGUCCAGACUCCUACGGGAGGCAGCAGUGGGGAAUAUUGGACAAUGGGCGAAAGCCUGAUCCAGCCAUGCCGCGUGUGUGAAGAAGGUCUUCGGAUUGUAAAGCACUUUAAGUUGGGAGGAAGGGYWGUAGAUUAAUACUCUGCAAUUUUGACGUUACCGACAGAAUAAGCACCGGCUAACUCUGUGCCAGCAGCCGCGGUAAUACAGAGGGUGCAAGCGUUAAUCGGAAUUACUGGGCGUAAAGCGCGCGUAGGUGGUUUGUUAAGUUGGAUGUGAAAGCCCCGGGCUCAACCUGGGAACUGCAUUCAAAACUGACAAGCUAGAGUAUGGUAGAGGGUGGUGGAAUUCCUGUGUAGCGGUGAAAUGCGUAGAUAUAGGAAGGAACACCAGGCGAAGGCGACCACCGACAUACAC